CGCCCCUCAAGUCCCCUGUGGACUUGGUGUUGGGGAUCGGCGAGGCUGGUUUUCCAGCACAGCCGUCCCUUAAAUUAAUUGGCGGUCUCACCGUGGCCCUCCUCUGCGCAGUAGUAAAACACUCGCAACAAGAGCCCGGCGCGGUCCACUGCCGUAAAACCCCCCAACUUUUUAU
rnacentral:misc_RNA from 1 species